rnacentral:rRNA from 1 species
GGAUUAGAUACCCUGGUAGUCCGCACGGUAAACGAUGGAUGCCCGCUGUUCGCCCAUUAGGGUGAGCGGCCAAGCGAAAGCGUUAAGCAUCCCACCUGGGGAGUACGCCGGCAACGGUGAAACUCAAAGGAAUUGACGGGGGCCCGCACAAGCGGAGGAACAUGUGGUUUAAUUCGAUGAUACGCGAGGAACCUUACCCGGGCUUGAACUGCCAGCGAACGAUUCAGAGAUGAUGAGGCCCUUCGGGGCGCUGGUGGAGGUGCUGCAUGGUUGUCGUCAGCUCGUGCCG